AUGGUCAAAUAAACUAUCCAUAAUUAUCUUUCCAGAUGUAUUAAUGAUGUCCUCCAUAAUAUUCAGCAUUUACCACUGAUAUUUCCUCUACCUAUAUAUGCCAUUAGGUGCGGCCAAGUAUUUAAUUUAAACACCCUGUAUUUAAUGAAAAGUUUAUAAUACUUCUAUAUUAGCGGAUAAAGUAUGGUAUUACUUGUCUGAGUUGUUGGUCUCUAUAUUGAAAAGAGGACACUGUUGUGCUAGGCACUAUACCAACGUGUAGUAAGACCGUCCUUGCCCUAAAGAGGUGACAAGUAUGUUUGUGGCAUGCACAUGUGUGUUUUUAAAAAAAAAUUAAAUGAGAUAAUUUAUUCCUAGGGGAGCAAUUUAUUGCUGACCCUUAUUUCGCAUCUUUCUAUAAACACAUGCUUUUGAUAUUUUGUCACUUUGGAUCUACAAGCUGUUUUGAGGCAAAGAUUCUCUUACUGCUUGUUUGUGAAACACCUAAUGGAAUGUGUCCUUGCUCAUGGAUAAGCCUCUUUAUGCGAUUGUAAUACAAGUAAUAACUACACACUAUUCUGAAUCAAUUCCAUUAGUCAAAUUUUUCUUUUAUUCAUCUGGAAACAGUAUCUUAGCAAUUUUGAGCAAAUUUCUUCAAGUUUUAAGUUCAGAUCUCUGUCCAAAAUAAUACUUUCUGCUGAGAUCUCUUUCAGGUCUGCAGUUGGUUUGAAUGUUAUAUUUUCCAUGGAAAGCACUGUCCCUAUCCAUUAACCUUACUCCAGUCCUCUGAUGCAUUCCAGGUUCUUGGUAAGCUUUUCAAAGCUGAAGGAUUUUCUCCUCACUGUUCCUUAAAGAAUACUGAGGGGUGAUUCAUGUGGGUCUCAUACAAUGACAACUUUUAAUAGGUUAAGUUGUGAUACUGUUAUAUCUGUUCAAGUAUAAGGAUAAAACCUCAACAUCCAUCUCCAGGUUAAAGCCUUCCUAUUCUAUAGGAGGUGACCUUCAGGUUCUUUUAAGAAUACCAGGGUAAAGAAUUCAGGCCCUUGGUAAUAUCAGCUUCAUCUAUCAUUAACUUCCCAUUUAUGUCCCUUAGUAGCCCCAGUGGAGCAUAUGUCUGUAUGAUCCUUAGAACUUUAUCUUUACUUUUUAAUCAAUUCUUUAUUUUGUAGCAUACUGUUUCUGUCAUUUGCCACUCAUUGAUUUAGACUCCUAUUCCUUUUUGCUCAGACUACGUACCACUAUUCCUUUUGCCAAUUUCUCACUCAAUGUUUGAUUUCUAAUAAGCUUAUCACUUACUCUAAUUUCCCUUAUUUUUCUAUAGUUUAUUGUAGAUAGCGAAUGGGGAACUGCAAACAGGGGAGUUUGAGAAGAGGAGGAGGAGGAGGAGAUCCCCCUGCUGAACGAACAAGGUGCAAGUACUAAUCUUGGGGAAGAAAGACUGCUAAGCAGAGAUGGGGGGCCACCUAUCGAGAGAGCAUAUUUGGAUUCAGACUGGCUAACCUAGUGAGGAUGGCUUUAAACUAGGUUGGAAGGGGGCAGGUGACCAAAGCCCACAGUUGUGGAAGAUGGGAGAUUUUCCAGAGACUGGAAAGGGAAAAUAAAGUGCCUGAAGGGAAAUAAGGACAACCCAGGGAAUUACAGACCAGUCAGCUUAACUUCUGGACCUGGAAAGGCAUCAUAGGACCCCUAAUCACAUCAGCGAUACCAUCAGGGGCUCGUUCACCUGCACAUCUACCAAUGUGAUAUAUGCCAUCAUGUGCCAGCAAUGCCUCUCUGCCAUGUACAUUGGCCAGACCGGACAGUCUCUACGCAAAAGCAUUAAUGGACACAAAUCUGACAUCAGGAAUCACAAUACUCAAAAACCAGUGGGAGAACACUUUAACCUGUCUGGUCAUUCAAUGACAGACCUGCGGGUGGCUAUCUUACAACAGAAAAACUUGAAAAACAGACUCCAACGAGAGACUGCUGAACUGGAAUUGAUAUGCAAACUAGACACAAUCAACAAAGGAUUGAAUAAGGACUGGGAAUGGCUGAGCCAUUACAAACAUUGAAUCUAUCUCCCCUUGUAAGUAUUCUCACACUUCUUAUCAACCUGUCUGUACUGGGCUAGCUUGAUUAUCACUUCAAAAGUUUUUUUUCUCUUACUUAAUUGGCCUCUCAGAGUUGGUAAGACAACUCCCACCUGUUCAUGCUCUCUGUAUGUGUGUAUAUAUAUCUCCUCAAUAUAUGUUCCAUUCUAUAUGCAUCCGAAGAAGUGGGCUGUAGUCCACGAAAGCUUAUGCUCUAAUAAAUUUGUUAGUCUCUAAGGUGCCACAAGUACUCCUGUUCUUUUUGCGGAUACAGACUAACACAGCUGCUACUCUGAAACCUGAGAAGACCCUGCAGUUCUAAUGGCUCGUAGAUUUAAGAUAGCCUGAGCUUCCGAUUGUCAGUAGGUAAAGUCUCCUGAAAUCCUGGCUUGGAGUAAGUCCUGGGUGGGAUUGUUGUCUAUAAUUCCAAAAUCUGAACAAACUCGCUUCAGCUCUUUUUUGAGGUAAGAGAGUUAAA